rnacentral:rRNA from 1 species
CCGGGUGUGUAAGCGCAGCGAUGCGUUGAGCUAACCGGUACUAAUGAACCGUGAGGCUUAACCUU